rnacentral:rRNA from 1 species
GUCUAUGAUCAUGCCACCUUGAACACGCCCGAUUUCGUCUGAUCUUGGAAGCUAAGCAGGGUCGGGCCUGGUUAAUACUUGGGUGAGAGACCGCCUAGGAAUACCAGGUGCUGUAGGCA